rnacentral:rRNA from 1 species
CGCUAUCUGCAGUCGAGCGACUGAUUAGAAGCUUGCUUCUAUGACGUUAGCGGGGGACGGGUGAGUAACACGUGGGCAACCUGCCUGUAAGACUGGGAUAACUUCGGGAAACCGAAGCUAAUACCGGAUAGGAUCUUCUCCUUCAUGGGAGAUGAUUGAAAGAUGGUUUCGGCUAUCACUUACAGAUGGGCCCGCGGUGCAUUAGCUAGUUGGUGAGGUAACGGCUCACCAAGGCAACGAUGCAUAGCCGACCUGAGAGGGUGAUCGGCCACACUGGGACUGAGACACGGCCCAGACUCCUACGGGAGGCAGCAGUAGGGAAUCUUCCGCAAUGGACGAAAGUCUGACGGAGCAACGCCGCGUGAGUGAUGAAGGCUUUCGGGUCGUAAAACUCUGUUGUUAGGGAAGAACAAGUACGAGAGUAACUGCUCGUACCUUGACGGUACCUAACCAGAAAGCCACGGCUAACUACGUGCCAGCAGCCGCGGUAAUACGUAGGUGGCAAGCGUUAUCCGGAAUUAUUGGGCGUAAAGCGCGCGCAGGCGGUUUCUUAAGUCUGAUGUGAAAGCCCACGGCUCAACCGUGGAGGGUCAUUGGAAACUGGGGAACUUGAGUGCAGAAGAGAAAAGCGGAAUUCCACGUGUAGCGGUGAAAUGCGUAGAGAUGUGGAGGAACACCAGUGGCGAAGGCGGCUUUUUGGUCUGUAACUGACGCUGAGGCGCGAAAGCGUGGGGAGCAAACAGGAUUAGAUUACGCCUGGUAGUCCACGCCGUAAACGAUGAGUGCUAAGUGUUAGAGGGUCUCCCGCCGUCUAGUGCUGCAGCUAACGCAUUAAUCACUCCGCCUGGGGGAGUACGGACCGCAAGACUGAAACUCAAAAGAAAUUGACAGGGGGCCCGCACAACCGGUGCAGCCUGUGAUUUAAUUCUAAGCACGCGAAAGAACAUUACCAGGCCUUGACAUCCUCUAACACUCUAGAGAUAUA